CACACACACACACUGCAUCCCUCACACACACAGUGCAACUGUCACACACACAGUGUACCCCUCACACACACACACUGCACCCCUCACACACACACUGCACCCCUCACACGCGCACUGCACCCCUCACACACAGUACUCCUUUACAACACGAACUCCUAUACACACUCUGCAUCCUAAGCACACACAAUAAAUCUCCUAUACAUACUCUGAAUCGGAUCCUAAGCACAGGC